rnacentral:rRNA from 1 species
UUGGAAAUGCUAGUCUAAGCGUUUAGGCAGUUACGGUAGGCAAAUCCGCUGUAACGUUAAUGCUGAGGCGUGAUGGGGAAGGCCCUUGAGGCUGAAGUAUAUGAUUCCAUGCUUCCAAGAAAAGCAUCUAGAGAGAGAAGUAGUGCCCGUACCGCAAACCGACACAGGUAGAUGAGGAGAGAAUCCUAAGGCCGGCGGAAGAAUUGCAGUUAAGGAACUAGGUAAAUUGACCCCGUAAGUUAGCGAGAAGGGGUGCCUGCGAGAGCAGGCCGCAGAGAAUAGGCCCAAGCAACUGUUUAGCAAAAACACAGGUCUCUGCUAAAGCGCAAGCUGAUGUAUAGGGGCUGACGCCUGCCCGGUGCUGGAAGGUUAAGGGGAACACUUAGCGCAAGCGAAGGUGAGAACUUAAGCCCCAGUAAACGGCGGCCGUAACUAUAACGGUCCUAAGGUAGCGAAAUUCCUUGUCAGGUAAGUUCUGACCCGCACGAAUGGCGUAAUGACUUGGGCACUGUCUCAACUGCAAAUCCGGCGAAGUUGUAGUGCGAGUGAAGAUGCUCGCUACCCGCGAUUGGACGGAAAGACCCCGUAGAGCUUUACUGUAGCUUAGCAUUGAAUUCCGGUAUUGUCUGUACAGGAUAGGUGGGAGACUGGGAAACUAGGGCGUCAGCCUUAGUGGAGUCGUCCUUGGGAUACCACCCUGACAGUACUGGGGUUCUAACAGGACGCCAUGAAUCUGGUGACUGGACAUUGUUAGGUGGGCGGUUUGACUGGGGCGGUCGCCUCCUAAAAAGUAACGGAGGCGCCCAAAGGUUCCCUCAGAACGGUCGGAAAUCGUUCGUAGAGUGCAAAGGCAGAAGGGAGCCUGACUGCGAGACCUACAAGUCGAGCAGGGACGAAAGUCGGGCUUAGUGAUCCGGUGGUACCUCGUGGGAGGGCCAUCGCUCAACGGAUAAAAGCUACCUCGGGGAUAACAGGCUGAUCUCCCCCAAGAGUCCACAUCGACGGGGAGGUUUGGCGCCUCGAUGUCGGCUCGUCGCAUCCUGGGGCUGUAGUAGGUCCCAAGGGUUGGGCUGUUCGCCCAUUAAAGCGGCACGCGAGCUGGGUUCAGAACGUCGUGAGACAGUUCGGUCCCUAUCCGUCGCGGGCGUAGGAAAUUUGAGAGGAGCUGUCCUUAGUACGAGAGGACCGGGAUGGACUGACCUCUGGUGCACCAGUUGUUCUGCCAAGAGCAUGGCUGGGUAGCUAAGUCGGGAAGGGAUAAACGCUGAAAGCAUCUAAGCGUGAAGCCUCCCUCAAGAUGAGAUUUCCCAUAGCAUAAGCUAGUAAGACCCCUUGAAGAACACGAGGUUGAUAGGUCAGAGGUGUAAGUGUGGUAACAUAUUUAGCUGACUGAUACUAAUAGGUCGAGGGCUUG